rnacentral:rRNA from 1 species
CAGCAGCCGCGGUAAUACGGAGGAUCCAAGCGUUAUCCGGAAUCAUUGGGUUUAAAGGGUCCGUAGGCGGUCUUGUAAGUCAGUGGUGAAAGCUUAUCGCUCAACGGUGGAACGGCCAUUGAUACUGCAGGACUUGAAUUAUUGGGAAGUAACUAGAAUAUGUAGUGUAGCGGUGAAAUGCUUAGAGAUUACAUGGAAUACCAAUUGCGAAGGCAGGUUACUACCAAUUGAUUGACGCUGAUGGACGAAAGCGUGGGUAGCGAACAGGAUUAGAUACCCCUGUAGUCCCUGUCUCUUAUAC